rfam:Triticum urartu cultivar G1812 contig562728, whole genome shotgun sequence.
UGUAUACUCCCUCCGUCCGGAAAUACUUGUCGUAGAAAUGGAAACAAAUGGAUGUAUAGAACUAAAAUGCAUCUAGAUAUAUCCACUCCUUGGACAAGUAUUUCUGGGACGGAGGGAGUACAUG